rnacentral:rRNA from 1 species
AUUGAACGCUGGCGGCAUGCUUUACACAUGCAAGUCGAACGGUAACAGCACUUCGGUGGCUGACGAGUGGCGAACGGGUGAGUAAUACAUCGGAACGUGCCUAGUAGUGGGGGAUAACUACUCGAAAGAGUAGCUAAUACCGCAUGAGAUCUAAGGAUGAAAGCAGGGGACCUUCGGGCCUUGCGCUACUAGAGCGGCUGAUGGCAGAUUAGGUGGUUGGUGGGAUAAAAGCUUACCAAGCCGACGAUCUGUAGCUGGUCUGAGAGGACGACCAGCCACACUGGACCUGGGCACGGCCCCGACCCCCACGGGGAGGCGACGGGGGGAAUUUUUGGCAAGGGGGGGAAGCCCUACUCCGCAAAGGCGCGGUAGGGAAGGAGGGCUUUGGGUUUGAAAGCUUCUUUUGUGGGGAAGAAAAAGCCCCUUUUAAAUACAGGGGGGUGAGACGGGACCCAAAAAAAAAGCCACGGCCAACCUCGUG